rnacentral:rRNA from 1 species
AAUCAACGCUGGCGGCGUGCCUCAGACAUGCAAGUCGAACGAUUUAAAGCUCUCUUCGGAGAGUGCAUAGAGUGGCGCACGGGUGAGUAACACGUAAGUAAUCUACCUUUGAGUGGGAAUACCGUCGGAAACGACGCUAAUACCGCAUAAUGCAGCGGCAUCGCAAGAUGACAGUUGUUAAAGAUUUAUCGCUUGAAGAGGAGCUUGCGGCAGAUUAGCUAGUUGGUAAGGUAAUGGCUUACCAAGGCUACGAUCUGUAACCGGUC